GUCUACAGCCAUACCAUACCACCUUGAACGUGCCCCAUUUCCUCUCAUCUCAGAAGCUAAGCAGGGUCGGGCCUGGUUAGUACAUGGAUGGGAUACCAUCUGGGAAUAACAGGUACUGUAGUCU
rnacentral:rRNA from 1 species